GACGAACGCUGGCGGCGUGCCUAAUACAUGCAAGUUGAGCGAUGAAGAUUGGUGCUUGCACCAAUUUGAAGAGCAGCGAACGGGUGAGUAACGCGUGGGGAAUCUGCCUUUGAGCGGGGGACAACAUUUGGAAACGAAUGCUAAUACCGCAUAAUAACUUUAAACAUAAGUUUUAAGUUUGAAAGAUGCAAUUGCAUCACUCAAAGAUGAUCCCGCGUUGUAUUAGCUAGUUGGUGAGGUAAAGGCUCACCAAGGCGAUGAUACGUAGCCGACCUGAGAGGGUGAUCGGCCACAUUGGGACUGAGACACGGCCCAAACUCCUACGGGAGGCAGCAGUAGGGAAUCUUCGGCAAUGGACGAAAGUCUGACCGAGCAACGCCGCGGGAGUGAAGAAGGUUUUCGGAUCGUAAAACUCGGUUGGUAGAGAAGAACGUUGGUGAGAGUGGAAAGCUCAUCAAGUGACGGUAACUACCCAGAAAGGGACGGCUAACUACGUG
rnacentral:rRNA from 1 species